ensembl:snRNA U6 U6 spliceosomal RNA
GUGCUAGCUUUGGGGGCGCACAUACGAAGAUUGGAACGCUACAGAAAUUAGCGUGGCCCCUGUGAGGGUGAUACACAAAUUUGUGAAGCAUUCCAUAUUUAA